UACGUAGGGGGCUAGCGUUGUCCGGAAUCAUUGGGCGUAAAGCGCGUGUAGGCGGCCCGAUAAGUCCGCUGUGAAAGUCCAGGGCUCAACCCUGGGAUGCCGGUGGAUACUGUCGGGCUCGAGUCCGGAAGAGGCGAGUGGAAUUCCUGGUGUAGCGGUGAAAUGCGCAGAUAUCGGGAGGAACACCGGUGGCGAAGGCGGUUCUCUGGGCCCGUACUGACGCUGAGGAGCGAAAGCGUGGGGAGCGAACAGG
rnacentral:rRNA from 1 species